AAAACGGAGAGUUUGAUCCUGGCUCAGGAUGAACGCUGGCGGUAUGCUUAACACAUGCAAGUCGAACGGAGUUCUUCGGAACUUAGUGGCGGACGGGUGAGUAACGCGUGAGAAUCUGGCAAAAGGUUCGGGACAACAGUUGGAAACGGCUGCUAAUACCGGAUGUGCCUUCGGGUGAAAGAUUAAUUGCCUUUUGAUGAGCUCGCGUCUGAUUAGCUAGUUGGUGUGGUAAGAGCGCACCAAGGCGACGAUCAGUAGCUGGUCUGAGAGGAUGACCAGCCACACUGGGACUGAGACACGGCCCAGACUCCUACGGGAGGCAGCAGUGGGGAAUUUUCCGCAAUGGGCGAAAGCCUGACGGAGCAAUACCGCGUGAGGGAAGAAGGCUCUUGGGUUGUAAACCUCUUUUCUCAGGGAAUAAGUACUGAAGGUACCUGAGGAAUCAGCAUCGGCUAACUCCGUGCCAGCAGCCGCGGUAAUACGGAGGAUGCAAGCGUUAUCCGGAAUGAUUGGGCGUAAAGCGUCCGCAGGUGGUUUUUCAAGUCUGCUGUCAAAGAGUCUGGCUCAACCAGAUAAAGGCAGUGGAAACUGAGAGACUAGAGUAUGGUAGGGGCAGAGGGAAUUCCUGGUGUAGCGGUGAAAUGCGUAGAGAUCAGGAAGAACACCGGUGGCGAAAGCGCUCUGCUGGACCGCAACUGACACUGAGGGACGAAAGCUAGGGGAGCGAAUGGGAUUAGAUACCCCAGUAGUCCUAGCCGUAAACGAUGGAUACUAGGCGUUGCCCGUAUCGACCCGGGCAGUGUCGUAGCCAACGCGUUAAGUAUCCCGCCUGGGGAGUACGCACGCAAGUGUGAAACUCAAAGGAAUUGACGGGGGCCCGCACAAGCGGUGGAGUAUGUGGUUUAA
rnacentral:rRNA from 1 species